GAUGAACGCUGGCGGCGUGCCUAAUACUUGCAAGUCGUACGGAAAGGCCCUUCGGGGUACUCGAGUGGCGGACGGCUGAGUAACGCGUGGGAACGUGCCCCAAAGUGAGGGAUAACGCACCGAAAGGUGUGCUAAUACCGCAUAUGGUCUUCGGAUUAAAGCUUCGGCGCUUUGGGAGCGGCCCGCGUACGAUUAGAUAGUUGGUGAGGUAAUGGCUCACCAAGUCGACGAUCGUUAGCUGGUCUGAGAGGAUGAUCAGCCAGACUGGGACUGAGACACGGCCCAGACUCCUACGGGAGGCAGCAGUAAGGAAUCUUCCACAAUGGGGGCAACCCUGAUGGAGCAACGCCGCGUGCAGGAUGAAGGUUUUCGGAUCGUAAACUGCUUUUAUAAGUGAAGGAUAUGACGGUAACUUAUGAAUAAGGAUCGGCUAACUACGUGCCAGCCGCCGCCGUAA
rnacentral:rRNA from 1 species